CUUCUCUUGGUGAGAUGUAGAUGCGUUUCCCCUUGCUGUUUAUUGAUAUUCUGUUUCCCUAAAUACGGACCUAUUUGUCUCCGCUGUCUCCCCCCGCCCCACCCGUACACCGGACCUGAGCGGAUGGGCGGAUCGGGGAGGAGAAGAGAAGAGGCGGAUAGGGGCAGAAAGGGAAAACUAUCCGUGAUUGAUAGGCAAUCUCAGUGCCUGUGGCGUCUGGAAAAUCACCAAGGUGACGGGUGAAUGACAACUUAAAACCUUCAAACACAGAGGUUGGAACAGCAUGAGGACUCUGCACAGGUCUGAGUCCUUAAAACUUAAAGCUUGGUGCUUGAACAUAGUCCAGAAUUACAGACAGAAGAGAUGGAGACCCACAGCAUGCCCAAGUGUCUUCAUUACAGGUUUCUCGAGCCGCCAAUGGUCGAACCGGACAGUACCUACAGUCACUUCCCAAAAAGACAAUGAGCAAUGGCAGAAGGUUCCAAUCAAUGAGCGUUCAAAUAAAACGUAUGCUCGCUGUUUACCAACUCGCUCAGCAUGAAGGGAUCUUCAGAGAAAAUGCAUUUAAAAGUAAAAUGCACUUUUGUUAUUUCACUGUAUUGAUUAUGUUCCAAUUUACCGUUACCUGAACACAGAACAGGUCUUAAAUUACAGGACAAAAUUACAUUUGUCAUACAUAGCCAUUAUAAAAGUGAACAGACUAGUCGAUCAGCCUUACUGUUUGGGACCCUAAAGAAACUUUGCAGUGUUACAUCCAGUAGCGCUUCUGUUUGUAUAAAUCCACAACAAAUGUUUUAUUUGUUGUAAUGAUCGUAAAUAAAUU